rnacentral:rRNA from 1 species
CCUACGGGUGGCAGCAGUGAGGAAUAUUGGUCAAUGGGCGGAAGCCUGAACCAGCCAAGUAGCGUGCGGGAUGAAGGCCCUACGGGUCGUACACAGCUUUUGCACGGGGAUAACACCCUCCACUUGUGGAGGUCUGCAGGUACCGUGCGAAUAAGGGCCGGCAAAUCCCGUGCCAGCAGCCGCGUUAAUACGGAGGGCCCGGUGGUUUUCCGGAUUCAUUGGGCGUAAGGGGAGCGUAGGCGGGUGUUCAAGUCAGAUGUAAAAUCACGCGGCUCAACCGCGCCUCGCAGUUGAAACUGGACGCCUUGAGUUCACAACAGGCAGGCGGAAUUCGUGGUGUAGCGGUGAAAUGCAUAGAUAUCACGAGGAACCCCGAUUGCGAAGGCAGCCUGCCGGGGUGCGACUGACGCUGAGGCUCGAAGGUGCGGGUAUCAAACAGGAUUAGAUACCCUUGUAGUC